UACGUAGGGUCCGAGCGUUGUCCGGAAUUACUGGGCGUAAAGAGCUCGUAGGUGGUUUGUCGCGUUGUUCGUGAAAACUCACAGCUCAACUGUGGGCGUGCGGGCGAUACGGGCAGACUUGAGUACUGCAGGGGAGACUGGAAUUCCUGGUGUAGCGGUGGAAUGCGCAGAUAUCAGGAGGAACACCGGUGGCGAAGGCGGCAUCCUGGACCAACACUGACGCUGAGGAGCGAAAGCCAGGGGAGCAAACGGG
rnacentral:rRNA from 1 species